AAACCACAUUGAAGUAUGAAGCAGCAGUAGACUACAACUUCAGCAGCAGUCAACAAUUUGCAAAUGUAUGGAAAGUUGUAAAAAAGGGAGAAUGUAGAGUACUGUGUGGAUGUGUAAAUCAACUAAUCCAUCUCCUAAAUUCAAACCUACCAAACCAAAAACCAACAAUUGAUACCAAACCAUAACAUGCCCGCAGUCAUUCGUCUAGUGAAGUCAGUCUGACAGCUUUUCAUACACCAGUCCAGUGGGGUUACGGUUGGAGCGAAAACAAACCCCAUUGUGGAAGUUUGAGGUCACAACUUCACACUCGCCCUAAUUUCGGUUUGCCAGACAUCCGUUCUGGGUUUUUCCCAAAACUUCCAGUUCUUUGUGGAUUCCUGAGGGAGGUGAAGCAUCGGCAGAAGGUGCUGUGACAUCAAAUUGUAAAAUCCAGAAUUGCACCGAUGUCAUUUCCACUAGGGAUGUUCUGUAGUCCAGUGGUGCUGUGAAACAAAAAAGCAAUUGGCGAAAAUAGUUGCAUUCGCCAAUUGGUAUACUUACCAUUUAACUUGCGCUUGUUUGCUUUCACCAAUUCCAAUUUUGCCCAAACGUUGAACUUUCACAAUAGUUGCAGGUGUUCUUCCAUUUUGCGUCCAGUUUCAAGAGCACAUCCUUCCCAGUGUCCAGACAGGUUGUUGUUGUUGUUGUUGUAGCAGUCCGCAGCGUUAGUAAAGUCAGUCGUUUAGUCGUCCCCCGUUAGGCCUCAAACAAACACGUGCAACAAUGCACUAAAAAACAACCUACAACACUGCACUAAACUUAGAAUAAGCCAAAAACAAACAGACGAGCGGUAAAAUCCAGGUUAAGUUUAGGGGAAAGAAUAUAGCGAUGUGUGUGUGCGGUGGACACAUUCUGAAAACAGCAGCCAAACACAACCAAACAACUUCAACCAGCUCAAGGAAUAACAAACGAUUGGUGACUUGCAUGCGGGGGUCCUCGCUCCCCCGUUGGUGGCCACGUUGUCCGGAUUGUUCAGUCAAAAGCGCACAAAAAACCAACAAUCAACCACGUUGCGUUGGAGCAAACUACCUUCCAAACUACCAGGUGAAACGCUCACAACACAGUUGCGUUGGAGCAAACUGCCUUCCAGUCUACCAGGU
ensembl:lncRNA